rnacentral:rRNA from 1 species
AUUGAACGCUGGCGGCAUGCUUUACACAUGCAAGUCGAACGGUAACAGGCCGCAAGGUGCUGACGAGUGGCGAACGGGUGAGUAAUGCAUCGGAACGUGCCCAGUCGCGGGGGAUAACGCAGCGAAAGCUGUGCUAAUACCGCAUACGAUCUAUGGAUGAAAGCGGGGGACCGUAAGGCCUCGCGCGAUUGGAGCGGCCGAUGUCGGAUUAGGUAGUUGGUGGGGUAAAGGCCUACCAAGCCGACGAUCUGUAGCUGGUCUGAGAGGACGACCAGCCACACUGGGACUGAGACACGGCCCAGACUCCUACGGGAGGCAGCAGUGGGGAAUUUUGGACAAUGGGCGCAAGCCUGAUCCAGCAAUGCCGCGUGCAGGAAGAAGGCCUUCGGGUUGUAAACUGCUUUUGUACGGAACGAAACGGUCUGGGUUAAUACCCUGGGCUAAUGACGGUACCGUAAGAAUAAGCACCGGCUAACUACGUGCCAGCCGCCGCGGUAAUAC